rnacentral:rRNA from 1 species
GAUUUUGGACAAGGGGGGCAACGCUGAUCCAGCCAUCCCGCGUGAUCGAUGAAGGCCUUCGGGUUGUAAAGCACUUUUGGCAGGGAAGAAAAGGCUCUGGCUAAUACCUGGAGCUGCUGACGGUAGCUGCAGAAUAAGCACCGGCCAACUGAGUGCCAGCAUCUGCGGUAAUACGUAGGGUGCAAGGGUUAAUCGGAAUUACUGGGCGUAAAGCGUGCGCAGGCGGUUCGGCAAGAAGGAUGUGGAAUCCCAGGGCUUAACCUUGGAACUGCAUUCUUAACUGCCGGGCUAGAGUAUGUCAGAGGGGGGUAGAAUUCCGCGUGUAGCAGUGAAAUGCGUAGAGAUGCGGAGGAAUACCGAUGGCGAAGGCAGCCCCCUGGGAUAAUACUGACGCUCAUGCACGAAAGCGUGGGGAGCAAACAGG